GGGCAUCCAAGAGACAACCCAUAGUGUCCCUUUCAUCUACAGAAGCUGAAUUUAUUGCUGCAGCAGAAUGCUGUAAAGAAGCGUUAUACCUAAAAUCGUUUUUAAAGGAAAUAACAGAUAUAGAAGCAAAAAUAAAUCUUCAUGUCGACAACCAAAGCUCGAUACAGCUAGUAAAAUCUGGUUCCUGCAACAAAAGAUCUAAGCAUAUAGACGUGCGAUACCAUUUCAUACACGAACACUUUGUGCAAGGGCUGAUCAACAUAAGCUACUGCCCAACCGAAGUACAGUUAGCAGACAUAAUGACAAAGCCAUUGGGUAAAGUGAAGUUUGCUGGACACUGUGAGACGUUAAUGUGUGGAUAGUGCCAUACUGCAGCCACAUGAGCAUCCACCAGGAGAAGGUGUUGGAAAGUGCUGGCUGUUCAUAUUGUCUAUGAUCGCGGGAAUAUUUGAAUUUGUUUUCUUGACAUGGUUUUCUAUUUUGAUGUCAUUAUAUCGAUCGUGUAACAUGUGUUGAUUUUCUCUCUGAAUAAACCUAAUCAAUAUUGCAUCAAUAUAUUCCUAUUAUUUCGUCACUGCUUUCCACCAUCAAUAUACCCUCCAUAAAGCCUUGCACUUGGGUCUGGCCGGUUAGAACAUAGACAAAAGUCUGCAAUGUCAAUGCAGUCAAAGUCAUUGACGCAAAACUAUUUUCAUUUUCAAAACUAUCAGUUUUCAUAUAAAAUGAUUAAAUAACGAUUUAUAUUCUUGAAAUAGAUUUAUUGAUUAAUUUUUAAAAUUAAAAAUCCACCGCACAUUAUCUCCGCUCAGACUCGGUUAAAGUUUAAUCCAUUUUACUGAACUAAGAAACAACAAUUAUUUCAAGAGGGUGAACGUGAGCAAAAAAUCCUUGGGCGUCAUAUCAUUUCCUUGGAAAGGCACGGAUCCGCCACAUAAUUGUGACUAGUUGUAGUUUCCCGGUGACCAUCAACAAGACCGCUGCACUGAGCUGUGGAGCAGAAAGUGUCCGACAAUCGGAUAGAUGUAAUAACAACUUUGUCUGUCAUAUAUUCAUGUAUUUUUAGUUUUUUGGGCUAAUAUAUGUGAUAUGAUUACAAGUUACACUAAUUGCAAUUGUGGAGUAAAAUCAGAUGUGCCAAAGAUCAUGUUUUAGAUAUAUAAAAAGCUAUAUUAAAUGCAAUAAAUAGUAUAUGUAUAUAUAUAUAAAA